ensembl:lncRNA
GAAAGAGGUUUUUCCGCACCGCUGGAAUGCUGUUAGGCCGUAGCGGGCGCAAACUCGUGGAGCGAGUCGUGUUUGCGAGGGUCUGCGCUGGAUGGAACCGCCGUCGUCUCAAGCGUGGGUGAGGGAGGAAGGCAGGCACCCUGUCCUUUAUAUGCAUUUAUUAGGCCGAAAAACCACGGGAGGGUGCCGCUCUUCCAGGGUGCGAGGCCGAGGAUGUUCGCGCAGCCCCCGCCAGCCGCCCCCCGACGCGGGGCCAGCCGAAUCCCGGCCGCGUUGCCACAACCGGGGAGAGCCCUCAUGGGGCUCGUGAGACGCGAGGGCGGCAGGUUUGCUCUUUCCAGAGCACUUAGCGGGUCGGCUUGUUUUCCCCGGUGCCGAGCCUCGCUUAGCGAAAGGCCCUAAAGACAAAUACGGCUAAUUAUAUCCUCAACGACUCCAGCAUCUCAGUCUGCAGCUCCAGCGUCUUGGUCUUUGCAUCUUCUGCACCUCCAGCAUCUCAGUUUCUGCAUCUUCUGCACCUGCGGCAGCUCAGUCUCUGCAUCUGUUGUAGCUCCAGCAUCUAGCUCAGCAUCUCUGCACCAGUGGCUGCUGUGUCCCGCAGGAAAGGGCUCUGCCUUGAACUGCUCCACGUGUCCCCGCGGCGCUGGGCGAGGAGCGGCCGCACGCCUUCGCAGAGCAUCGCGGUGGCAGCACGAGGUACACGGCUGUGAGCCGAAGAGCGGUGAGAGCAACCUGACCCACCUGGGCGGCAGCAGCGGGGUCCUGCCAGCGUCUGCCUGCCCUCCCCACUGCCCACCCCCCGGCCUCAUCCCUCACCGGGCUCCAGGAGGAGGAUUUUGCCUGCGCGGAGGUCGCUGUCAUUGCGCCAGUGCCCGCGGGGGACGUGGCAGCAGGAUGCCCCAGCGAGGGGUGCCCACGGGGAGGCUGGGCUCUCCCUGCCGGCACCUUCCCCUCCUCUUCCCCGGGGUCGGGAAGGGGCUGGGAUCACUGGGUGCGAUCCUGCACCGGCCUGCCCGGCCAGGCUGGGCAGAGGCACGCCAUACUGUAGGGCUGAGCUUCUGAAAGCUGGGGGACCCCAAACUGCCCGGCUGCCUUGGGUCUGGACCAGGGUGGAUGACUCUCUAAUCCACCAAGCUUUAAGAAAGAUCUUUAUUUAUUGUGUUUGUGCGGCUGCUGAGCAGGCUAAACGCUUAUUACAGCAAGGAUGGGCUGUGCGAGGGGAGAGUGUAUCACUGCGGUGCAUGCUAAAGCACAGUAAAUACUGCCCUUCUGUGCUCUUCUCCCACUCCUUUUAUUAUCUCCUUUUAAUGUGUUUAUGGUUUUUAUUUCAGUGGAUCAGCUGUCUUUUAAUGGCUGUUGUUCUUUUCUGUACUUGGACAUGAGAAGAGCUGUUUUGGUUUUAGUUACUCAUGCUUGGUAAAAACUUUAGUGGUUAAAUUGUCAGGAAAAUCGUAACACCGAAUAUCCUGACACUGCCGGGGAGGCUGGAGAGCUGGGAAGGCUCCUCCAGUGCCAGAACGCUCCAGAUAGGGAUGGAACAUGGAGGAGGGAAAGCAAAUGCAGUGAUAAGGGGUCUGGGCAUAAAACACUGAUACCAGGCACUACAGCAUUUGAAGUGCAGGAGAGAGAAACCCAGACCUUUUCCAGCUCCAUUUUGCAACAACGUGUUUAUUGGGUAUGCUUAAAAAAAAAAUCAAAAAGAGAAAAGAGCAAACCAAAGAACUGCAUAGACGUCCCUAUCGCAUGCUCUACGCCAAGGUACAAAACCAAAACUACUUUGGACACUGGAUCAGUUGUUGUAACUGUAGCCGCGCCAGGAGGUUGUACGUGCAAGUGCUUGGGGCGAGGUGACACAGGACCCACAUGAGACCCGGGAGAGCGGCACCGGCGGGUGCGAUGCAGCUGCACAGAUGCCCGCAUCUGCCUUCUGAUGCAUGCAGCCAAAGACCUGUUGUUCAUCCGCCUUUCCUAGUACGCGAGGAGCCGCCUGCCUGCAACGUGCCG